GGAUAACCUGCCCUUGGGUCCGGCAUAACCCCGGGAAACUGGGGAUAAUACCGGAUAACGCACAUAUGCUGGAAUGCUUUAUGCGUAAAAUGGAUUCGUCUGCCCAAGGAUGGGUCUGCGGCCUAUCAGGUAGUAGUGGGUGUAAUGUACCUACUAGCCAACAACGGGUACGGGUUGUGAGAGCAAGAGCCCGGAGAUGGAUUCUGAGACAUGAAUCCAGGCCCUACGGGGCGCAGCAGGCGCGAAAACUUUACAAUGCGGGAAACCGUGAUAAGGGGACACCGAGUGCCAGCAUCAUAUGCUGGCUGUCCAGGUGUGUAAAAUACACCUGUCAGCAAGGGCCGGGCAAGACCGGUGCCAGCCGCCGCGGUAACACCGGCGGCCCGAGUGGUGAUCGUGAUUAUUGGGUCUAAAGGGUCCGUAGCCGGUUUGGUCAGUCCUCCGGGAAAUCUGACGGCUUAACCGUUAGGCUUUCGGGGGAUACUGCCAGGCUUGGAACCGGGAGAGGUAAGAGGUACUACAGGGGUAGGAGUGAAAUCUUGUAAUCCCUGUGGGACCACCUGUGGCGAAGGCGUCUUACCAGAACGGGUUCGACGGUGAGGGACGAAAGCUGGGGGCACGAACCGGAUUAGAUACCCGGGUAGUCCCAGCCGUAAACGAUGCUCGCUAGGUGUCANGCAUGGCGCGACCGUGUCUGGUGCCGCANGGGAAGCCGUGAAGCGAGCCACCUGGGGAAGUACCGGCCGCAAGGCUGAAACUUAA
rnacentral:rRNA from 1 species